AGGAAAAGAAACUAACAAGGAUUCCCCUAGUAGCGGCGAGCGAAGAGGGAAGAGCCCAGCACCGAACCUCGCACCUUCGGGUGUCGCGGAAUGUGGUGUUCAGGAGGACCGUGCGCGUCUGUCCGGUAUCGUCCAAGUCUCCAUGAAUGGGGCCAGUUACCCAGAGAGGGUGUCAGGCCCGUGGGACGAGCCGCGACCGUGCAUUGGGUCUCUCCUUAGAGUCGGGUUGCUUGAGAGUGCAGCCCUAAGCGGGAGGUAAACUCCUUCUAAGGCUAAAUACGGCCACGAGACCGAUAGCAAACAAGUACCGCGAGGGAAAGUUGAAAAGAACUUUGAAGAGAGAGUUCAAGAGUGCGUGAAACCGUUCAGGGGGUUAAACGGGUGGGCCCUCGAAGGUCGAAAGGUCCUCACUCCCGGUCACUGCAGUUCGGCCCGCGCCGCUCUCGAUUCCGCUACGGAACGAAGUGGUGCGGCUCGCCGGGCUACGGGGGCCGUUAGCUGAGGGCCCGGUAGGACUCCGCAACCGGCUGGGAGGCCGUCAGAAGGGCUCUGUGAGGAAGCUCCCUCGUGGAGUGGAUUCCGGGGUUCCGGGCGGUCCUCUCGGCCGUGAACCGAGAUUUCCGCCUUCACGGGUAGGAAUUGGCGGAGAGUAGAGUCGGGUCCCACCCGACCCGUCUUGAAACACGGACCAAGGAGUCUAACAUGUGCGCGAGUCGUCGGGUACUACUAAACCCGAAGGCGCAAUGAAAGUGAARGCCGCCCUCGUUGGCGGCCUAGGGGAGAUCCCGUUCUGCUCCGGUAGCUCGGGCGCAUCCCCGGGGCGUCGAAGCCGCGUUGCCGGCUAGACGCACCAAGAGCGUACACGUUGGGACCCGAAAGAUGGUGACCUAUGCCUGGCCAGGACGAAGCCAGGGGAAACCCUGGUGGAGGUCCGCAGCGAUUCUGACGUGCAAAUCGAUCGUCUGAGUUGGGUAUAGGGGCGAAAGACUAAUCGAACCAUCUAGUAGCUGGU
rnacentral:rRNA from 1 species